rnacentral:lncRNA from 1 species
CCCAGCUCAUUCUUAGCUAACUAGUGUGUGUGAAAAAGAGACAGUGUUAAAAUAUAUAUGGUUUAAACUGAUAAGGAAAUGAUCAGUUAUUGAGCUUAUCCAUGAUUGCUAAUUCAGGUAGAGAUGGCUUAUAAGUAAGUGUUCGGGGCUGCUUACGGGAAGAAAAAAUGAAAGUUAGGGAUUUCCUUUGGAUGCUGGGAAACAAAACUCCAACUGGGUUCUGACAAACAUACCAUGUGCAUUGUCCUGUGGAGACAUGACAAUGUAAACCCAUAAACAAAUCGAUUACGUUUUGGUGACAACUAUUGUGAAGAGAAUGGCCAUAGUAUUUGCUGCUUCUCCUUUUAAUAGGUAGCAUCUCUCCUCUUACUCCCUUGAAUCUGAGAUAGCCUUAUGAAGUGAUAUUGUGCCAGUUCUGAGACUAGGCCUCAAGAAGCCUCGAAGCUUCCAAUCUUGCACUUUUUUGUUUGUUUUGAUACAGGUGCUUGUUCUGUUGCCCAGCCUAGAGUGCAGUGGCACAAUCAUGGCUCACUACAGCCUCAAUCUCAUGGGCUCAAGCAAUCCUCCCAUCUCAGCCUCCCAAAUAGCUGGGACUACAGGCAUGCAGCACCACCCCACCCUCCCCACCCCCAGCUAAUUUUUUAAAAUUUUUUUGUAGAAGACCAGGCGUGGUGGCUCACACCUGUAAUCCCAGCACUUUGGGAGGCUGAGGCAGGCAGAUCACCUGAGGUGGGGAAUUCAAGACCAGCCUGACCAACACGGAGAAACCCAUCUCUACUAAAAAUACAAAAUUAGCUGGGCGUGGUGGCUCAUGCCUGUAAUCUCAGCUACUCAGGAGACUGAGGCAGGAGAAUCGCUUGAACCCAAGAGGCAAAGGUUCUGGUGGGCUGAGAUUGCGCCAUUGCACUCCAGCCUGGGCAACAAGGGCGAAACUCCAUCUCAAAAAAUUUUUUUUUUUACAGAUGGGCUCUCACUAUGUUGCCCAGGCUGGUCUUGAACUCCUGGGCUCAAGAAAUCCCCCAACCUUGGCCUCCCAAAGUGCUGGGAUUACAGGUGUGAGUCAUCAUGCCCAGCCCCAAUCUCAUACUCUUGAAAUCCUAAAGCCAUGUGAAGAAUCCAGGCCUAGCUUGCUGGAUGAUGAGAGACACAGUCCCCCUAAUGCCCCAGGUGACAGUCACUCAAUACCAGACAUAUGAGUGACACCAUCUAGGACUAGCCAGCCUCAACAACCCAACUAGUGACCUCAGCUGCAUGGGCAAGUCCAGCCAAGAUAAGCUGAGCUGGAUCCAGACUAUAAGAAUUACCUGGAAGAACGCAAACUAAUGAAAGAUUGUUGUUUUAAGCCAAUGAGCUUUGGGGUGAUUUGUUAAUUGGCAAUAGAUAACUGAUAUUCAAGGAUUCAUCCAAAGUUCCCUUAAAAGAUAGAACCCAUUAAGUCAUUUUAAACACUUAUAAGCAAGUUAUUAAAUCCUUAAAAGAAACUGAAAGUUUCUAAGGUAUACUGGGUUGGAAAAAGGAAAAGAAAAAGAAACUAAAAGUGAAGGCUGAAACUGACAAGUAAGGAGUUAUUUCUCCCUGCAAAUGUAAUCAGAAAAUAAGGUGGAGUGUCUCUGAAUGCAUAACUGGAACAAGGAAACAAUCUAAUGGUUUUAGUAGUAAAUAUAUGAUUUCAGGGGCACAUCCAGUGGAAUGAUGGAGUCAGUGCACAACAACUUGUAAGACCCAGUCAUGGAAACUGGCAAACAUUACAAGUUAGAACCAGUUGUUAAAUCUUCAUUAGUACAUCACUGGACACAUCUAUUGCUAAAGGCACAUUUCAUCAGUAUGUAUAUGCAUAAAUAUACAUAUAAGAUGUCCUUAAUGUUUAAAAAAGACAUUGGUUGGUUCUGCCACAAUCUGUGAUCUUGGGCAAGUCAAUUAGUGUCUUUGGAUCUGUUUCCAAAUCAGUCCCCAAAAAUCAUCUUUAAGAUGUCUUUCAGCUUUACGAUUCUAUCUUCUAUGCUCUUAUGGUAAUUACACCUGGAUGCAGCAAUUGAAAAGUCCAAUGGGAUCAAUCCAAAUUGCCACACUUAACCAUGUUACUGACUACAUAUAUUACUCAUCAAGACAAUUAUUCAAGUAAGUGGCAUAAUAGUAAUCCAAUGUACUUUGCAUUAUGAGUGAAGAAGAGACUAAUUUUGACUAGAGGGGAAAGAAGGGAUGGUCAUAGCAAGAUACUUUGUCAAUCAGGAAUGAGGGCUAUCUUUGAACCCACAGUGGCUUGAACUCUAUAGGUGCUUAAUAAAAUUUGCCGAAAAGAUUACAUGCUUAGAGACAACAUUAUAAAGAAAAGACAUUCUUGCUGAAUUGAAGACUCAGAAGAGGCUGGGCACAGUGGCUCACCCUUGUAAUCCCAGUAUUUUGGGGGGCCAAGGUGGGCAGAUCACCUGAGGUCAGGAGUUCAAGACCAGCCUGGCCAACGUGGUGAAACCCCAUCUCUACUGAAAAUACAAAAAAUCAGCCAGGCAUGCUGGUGCACGCUCAUAAUCCCAGCUACUCGGGAGGCUGAGGCAGGAGAAUUGCUUGAGCCUAUGAGGCGGAGGUUGCAGUGGGCUGAGAUCAUGCCACUGGCCACUGUACUGCACUCCAGCCUGGGUGACAAAAGUGAAACUCCAUCUCAAAAAAAAAAAAAAAAAAAAGACUCAGAAGUAAUCAUAAGGUUCUACUUGCUAUUCUCACAUGUAAUUGUGAGACUCUGCCUCCAUUUCUCCAUCUAAAAACAGGAGCUCAUUUACAAGCAACAUGACAAGAAUUCAAGCAGUCAUGGCUGUGAAGCAUUUCUGCAGAAGGAUAUGCUAUGUAAGUAUGAGGUUGUUACUAAAUCAAAAUGAAUGCCUUUGUGCAAAACUAGAAAGCACAUUACAUAUUGUUCCUGAGUAUUCCUUCCCAGUGCAUUCAAAAUAUUCUCACAUUCACAAGGUUAAACAGCACAUUAAAAAAUAGUAGGAGGCUGAUGGCUGAGCUCAAUUGGGAGUAUCUUUCUUUGGUGUUAGAAUGUUUGAAAAUUAUUUUGGGAAGACUAUGAGCAAGUUAUUUUGAACUUCUGGGGAAAAAAAAAAAUCUGAAGAAGCAUUCCCUUUGCCUAAAAGCAAAGGAGACAUUUAUUUAUGCCUUUAGCAAAUAAAAUAGUUUGCUUACUACCAGUGUUUGUGGGCUGAUAUUCAACUCAUCUUCUGGAAAUUUUAAAAAUACACAUUGAAACUGAAAAAGUAUUCUUUGAGUAAGGGUUUACCUGAAGUGCCCAGAACCAUCCAAAAUGAUGGCACAUUAUAUCUUUUUUUCUUAAAAAUUUUUGGAAUCUAAUUGAAGAUGCCUCUUAGAAUAUGUGGAAACCACACGUGCUAUCUUGCAUAUCACUAUCAUUUCAGUUCUAAUGUUAUUAGGUGUUUAGCUACAGGCAAGUAGAAUUAGGGCAUGAUGUGACAGACUGUAAUGAGUUGCUGAGAAACUACAUACUCUAUCCCCAGGAAAACACAUAUUCUCAAAAUUCUACACAAUUUCAGGAAUUUCAUAGAUGCCCCUACCCCAAAUCCCAUUCAUGAAAUCCUUAGCUUAAAAUCCUGUGCACUAGAGCAAUGUAUUUUAUAAAACCAUAUUCAGAUGCCUGUGAAGCAAUGAAUGUGCUAGGCAAUGUUAGGCGGUAGAAACAGUGAUACACGUAGUCAGACAGGGUACCUAGAAGUCAUGGAGCUUAUAGGCUAGUAGGGGAUAUGGACAUUUACCAAAUAAUCACACAAAAAGAUGCCUAAUUACAAACUCUGAUUAAGUGCUAUGGAGAGAUAUACAGUGUUGCACGUAACAACAGAAUCUAAAGAAGUUACAUUUUAGGGGGCAUAUAAACAAUGUUGUGCAGGGGAGGUAGAAGAAACACAUUAUGGUAAAGGGCUGCAAAGGAAAUAAGCCCAUAAUAAGGCCUCUUAUAGGUUUAAGCUAGGACCUGAAACUUGUAUACUUUAUAUGCUUUGAAAUGAGACAUACAUUAAAGUGGCUGAUCAAAUUAAAACAUUUUCCAGUCUUUGCCUACUAAAUUGAUAAAGAUUUUUUAAAAUUUUAAUAGAACUAAAGAGAAAAUAUUUCUAUAUACUGAUGUUAGGAGUAUGCAGUUUAGGCCAGGCAUGGAGGCUCACACCUAUAAUCCCACCCAGCACUUUGGGAGGCCAAGGUGUGUGGACACUUGAGGUCAGGAGUUCGAGACCAGCCUGACCAACAUGGUGAAACCCUGUCUCUACUAAAAAUGCAAAAUUACCUGAGUAUGGUGGUGCACACUUGUAAUCCCAACUACUUAAGGAGGCUGAGGCAGGAGAAUCACUUGAACCCGGGAGGUGGAGGCUGCAGUGAGCCAAGAUCGCGCCAUUGCAUUCCAGCUUGGGCAGAGCAAACCUCCAUCUCCAAAACCCAAAAAGUAUACAGUUUAAACCACUGACUUUAAAAAUGUACAUAAACAUGGAUGCCGGACAUGGUGAUUCAACGAUUGCACUUACAGAAACAAAUCUAAGAAAACAGUAAUGAUCUUGCCAGCUUCUGAUGAGAUUAUAAGAAAAAAAAAAGAAGAAAUAAAUUUAAAAAAAAAAUAAAAAAAGAAAAUGGUAAUAAUCCACCAGGAUGUUAAUAACAGCAUUAUUCACAAGAUGGAACAGAAACAAUGAUUUUGUCUAACAGCAGGGAGUUAAUUAAAUUAUGACAAGCCAGAUUAUAGAAUAAUAUGCACCCAUUAAAUCAGAGUACUUAAUGAUACGGAAAAAAUUCCUAUUAAGUGAAAAAAGCAUUACAAAACAGCAUAUAUUAUGAGCUCUAUUUUUAUUUUUGAAAUAUAUUUAUGCAGAGAAAUACAAAAUGUUAACAAUAUUAUCUUAAA